rnacentral:rRNA from 1 species
CAGUCGCCGCGGGAAUACGGAGGGUGCAAGCGUUAAUCGGAAUUACUGGGCGUAAAGCGCACGCAGGCGGUCUGACAAGUCAGAUGUGAAAUCCCCGGGCUUAACCUGGGAACUGCAUUUGAAACUGUCAGGCUGGAGUCUUGUAGAGGGGGGUGGAAUUCCAGGUGUAGCGGUGAAAUGCGUAGAGAUCUGGAGGAAUACCGGUGGCGAAGGCGGCCCCCUGGACAAAGACUGACGCUCAGGUGCGAAAGCGUCGGGAGCAAACAGGAUUAGAGACCCCGGUAGUCCCUGUCUCUUAUAA